UAAAAAUAAAAAAAUAAAAAUGAAACGGUA
rnacentral:piRNA from 1 species